GAUGAACGCUAGCGGCAGGCCUAAUACAUGCAAGUCGAGGGAGAAUGUUGGAUUCGUCUGACAUGAAACCGGCGCACGGGUGCGUAACACGUAUGCAACCUACCUUUAACUGGGGUAUAGCUCAGAGAAAUCUGAAUUAAUCCCCCAUAAGACUACGACAUGGCAUCAUGAUGUAGUUAAAGCUCCGGCGGUUAAGGAUGGGCAUGCGGUACAUUAGCUAGUUGGUGAGGUAAUGGCUCACCAAGGCUACGAUGUAUAGGGGGUCUGAGAGGAUGAUCCCCCACACUGGUACUGAGACACGGACCAGACUCCUACGGGAGGCAGCAGUAGGGAAUAUUGGUCAAUGGACGCAAGUCUGAACCAGCCAUGCCGCGUGAAGGAUGAAGGCCCUAUGGGUCGUAAACUUCUUUUAUUAGGGAAGAAAAAACGGGAUGCGUCCUGUACUGACGGUACUUAAUGAAUAAGGAUCGGCUAACUUCGUGCCAGCAGCCGCCGUAAAAC
rnacentral:rRNA from 1 species